AUGGGAAACGUGGGGAAGUGCACGGAGCAUUCACAGCUUGUUGCUGAAAGAGUCAAUGCGUGGGUGCUGCUGAUCGCUGACAUCCACGGGUGGGGGUGGGAAGAGACCUGGGCCCUGAGAAGUCGACCUCAAGCCUUCAGUGUCACGCUCUAUUCCUCCACAGCUCCUCCCUCCGUGGUGGUCACCAGCCACCAGGCCCCAGGAAAAAACAAGAAACUCAAGUGCCUGGCCUACGACUUCUACCCGCGGGAGAUUGAUGUGCACUGGACUCGGGCCGGCAAGGUGCAGGAGCCUGACUCAGGGGGAGACAUUCUUUGCAGUGGAAAUGGCACUUACCUGACCUGGGUGGUGGUGCAUGUGUCCCCGAAAGACACAGCCCCCUACUCCUGCUAUGUGCAGCACAGCAGCCUGGCCCAGCCCCUGGUGGUGCCCGGGGAUGCCAGUUAGGAAGCAAGGGCUGGAGGCAAUGUGGGGGUCUCAGCCCCAGUAGCCGCCUUUCCUGCCUGACAUGGGAGCUGAACCUUAGAAAUCACCGUCAAUGGAUCCACAAGGCCCAAGCAGCCAUGUGGGCGGACAGGCAGGAGGCGGAUUUGGAGACUGAAGACUGGGAUGCCUGCCGUGAGCUGCCUCGGACCCCAAAAUCAUCUCACCUUAAACUGCCCCCCAUUGUCUAAUCUGUAGAACCAAAUAAAUAAUCAUCUCUUUUUGUCUGGCAUGA